CACAGUGUAGCUUAUCCUAAAGCAUCUGGCCUACACCCAGAAGAAUUCAUAACACAUGAACACUUUGA
rnacentral:tRNA from 1 species